AGUUCUUUUUAUUUAUCAGUCAGUUAUUUUUCAGUUGUUGCCAUAAUGUUGGUUCACCCUGGCGAUUUAAUUCCUGUUCAAGAAGACGCUAUUCAAAUUCCAUGGACAAGGAGGAAGUCUCAAAUUCUUAGUUAUCUGCAUAGGGGAUCUGUAACUUUUGAAACUUUCGUAUACGAUACAAAUGUUGGAGAUAUAUCUUCUUUGUCAACUUAUUUUAACCCUGAAAGAUGGACUGUAGAUGAUUUGAACCAUAAAUUUGCUCAAACUCCGGAUAGUGAUAAAGCUUUUGCUAGUGCUGUUGCAGACGGUGGCAACAAUUGUAAUCCUGACCUCACUAGUAAGUUCACAGAAUUGCAAAAGAAUGCCAGCUCGUCCGUGCUUCCUAGGUUAUUAGUUUGUCCAGAUGAUUCAAUGUCUGAAAAAGAGAAACAAACCAUACAGUGGGUCAUACUGCAAAGUACAGUUAAGACUAUGAAGAAUGGUCAUUCUGAAAAUCGUACACAGGCUGUUAUCACUCCAGAGUCGCCUGAUGGGGUGUUUUUGCCAUGGGAUGGCAUUUCAUCUAGUAAAAAAUGUUCACCUUUAGGGUAUUCUAAAUAUUCUUCCAAUGUGUGGCGACCGUCAGAUACUGGUAUUCUCUCUCCCUUUCUUUGGGACAAAAGCUUCUUAGAUUCGUGGCCUAGUGGCUCUACCUUAUUAUCUUCUAGUUCUAAUCAUAGUAGUAGUCCAGACAAUUUAACAAAAGUUAAUCACGUUAUAAAAACAAAAGAAGACUUUUUACUUGGGGAAUCUUUGUUGGAGAAUAUAGCUUCUGAUUUUAUUAGAAACGAGACUUUAGUUUAAUUGAUUAUAAAAAUUUUAGACUACAUUGUUAAUUUAAUCAAUGUAUUAUUUGAAUAUUUACGGGUUAUAAGGAUUCUAUUUUUUAUAUGAGUAAUCUCAUUCAAACAAAGACUUGUUUUUUAGGCAAAUUAAAGUUUGUUCAUUUUAAUUUGGUGUAAAUUUAUGAUUUAAUAAGGUUAAUUUUAAUUAUUUGAUUUUAUAUAAUAAAGUUUAGGAUGUCAUCUAUCAUUAAA
rnacentral:misc_RNA from 1 species